GCCUCCGUAGCCCAGGGGAAGAGCAUCCGCAUCUCGAGCGGGUGGCGUGGAUUCGAAUCCCGUCACCCGCU
rnacentral:tRNA from 1 species